UAUGUGCUAAAUUCAUAGGUACAUAAAGCGAACCUGGAGAACUGAAACAUCUAAGUACCCAGAGGAAAAAAAAUCAACCGAGAUUCCGUUAGUAGCGGCGAGCGAAAGCGGAACAGCCCAGUUACUAAAUCAUUAUUAGCUUUAGCAGAAUGUUCUGGAAAGUUCAGCCAUAGUAGGUGAUAGCCCCGUAUGUAAAAAGGCUAAUAAUGUGGGUAACAAUGAGUAAGUCGGGACACGUGAAAUCUUGACUGAAUAUGGGGGGACCAUCCUCCAAGGCUAAAUACUCCUUACUGACCGAUAGCGAACUAGUACCGUAAGGGAAAGGUAAAAAGAACCCCGAUAAGGGGAGUGAAAUAGAACCUGAAACCGUAUGCGUACAAGCAGUCAAAG
rnacentral:rRNA from 1 species